rnacentral:rRNA from 1 species
GACGAACGCUGGCGGCGUGUCUAAUACAUGCAAGUCGAGCGGACGAAUCGAAAGCUUGCUUUUGAUUCGUUAGCGGCGGACGGGUGAGUAACACGUGGGCAACCUGCCCUGUAGACGGGGAUAACACCGAGAAAUCGGUGCUAAUACCGGAUAACACGAAAUGUCGCAUGACGUUUCGUUGAAAGACGGCGCAAGCUGCCGCUACAGGAUGGGCCCGCGGCGCAUUAGCUAGUUGGUGAGGUAACGGCUCACCAAGGCGACGAUACGUAGCCGACCUGAGAGGGUGAUCGGCCACACUGGGACUGAGACACGGCCCAGACUCCUACGGGAGGCAGCAGUAGGGAAUCUUCCGCAAUGGACGAAAGUCUGACGGAGCAACGCCGCGUGAGCGAAGAAGGCCUUCGGGUCGUAAAGCUCUGUUGUUAGGGAAGAACAAGUAACGCAGUAACUGGCGUUACCGUGACGGUACCUAACGAGAAAGCCACGGCUAACUACGUG